CUGCAACGAUGCAACUGUAUUUACUGCAACUGAACUGCAAACUGUUGUUUCAAAAAGAAAAGAAACAACACAAACACAUGAUGGAAAUAUGACUACACUAGUGUAAGGACAAGAAAUGAUAACAGAAUAAGCCCCCCGUAUAUUUUUCAAGUUAUUUCAUUUCAUAUGUUAAGAGGUUAUUAUGUCCAGUUUUUGUAUGUAUUGUAUAUGCAUUGUUCUGUGUAGCAGUGUAGCUCACAAAAUAGUAUCUGUGCUCCAGUUUCUGUGAUGAGAAGUGGCACAUACAGAGAGGUGUGGUUUCUCCUUUUGGCCACAAGGUGGAGUAUCUGCUAAAUUGAGCACUGUUGGGCAAACUAUUGUGUUUUUUUAUUGAACCUUUCCUUCUUUUUUUUUUUAGAUUGACAGCUAAGGAGCAGGAUCAACUCAGAACUCUAUGGGAGACAUGCUUGAUUCCAUAGCGUCGUAAUGAAACGCUAACUUAAGAUAUUAGUGUUGACCCCUGACCCUGAUGUGAGGAGGAGGACUACGCCUGGCAGAAACAGGAAAGCUUUGAUGUCAACACAGAUGCUUUUGGUGGAGUUGCUCCUGAACAAAGACACACUGAUUUAAAAGCCUUUGUGUUCAUCCCGUGACUUGGUACAUUCCACUCCUCCCCUCUGUGUCGAUCUAUUUGGAAUGUUCCACUUCCCUUGUCGGCGCUUUCUCAGACGGAAACAGGAAGAGAACGCGGAACAGCGGGAACAAACGUGAUACCCUUCUCCAAACAUAUGCAGGUGCAGGAGGACCUGGCUGACCUGGAGGAGGACGAGGACGAGGACGAGGAGCAGCGCGGACAAAUGUGUGGUAACUGAUGCUUAAAAAUGAUCCACACAUUUAUUAGACGUUCUGUUGAUGCUCUGUUCACACCUGCUGUUAACAUCUGAUCCGAGUCAUCCGAUCACAGUUGUUCAGAUUACACCUGCUACUGCUAUUGCUAAUAUCACGUCAAAUGAUGAUUCUCAAAUGUCUUUUUUUAUCCACCAACCAAAAAUUAUUCAGUUUUAAUUCCUUCUUUGUUACAAGGAACAAUGAAAACGGGAAAUGUUCAACAUUUAUAAUAAAAAACAAACAAUUAAUCCAAUAUUAAAGUAUUUGACAAUUCAUUUAGUAAUCGUUUAAUAAUGCUGUAAUCGUUGCAUCCCUACUUUAUAUAUAUAUAUAUUUUUUUAAAUCAUCAGAGACACAGCAGCGCUAGUGAAAGUGACCACUUGGCACCAUCUAGUGGACUGAGAGGUUCAUUUAUUUUGUUUAUUUGUAAUGCUAAUCCACAAAAAAGUUUGACGUUUAUUUAUAACAUCAGUUCAAAACAUUGUUAUGGAACAAACCAUGACUCUUUCACCUGUCAUUUCAUCACCUCACACGGACGAUGUUAACAGCACUUGUCAACAGAGCCUCUGUUUAAUGUGUGCACAUUAUUUUUACAUUGUUAACAGGUGAAAACUAGGGACCACUCAAAGUCACAAAAUUCUAUCAAUAAAUACACCAUUCAAUAAUUACUACAAUGUGCCAUUCAUUCAUUGAUUCAAAUUGGAAUUAAAUACAUACACGUCUUAUUAAAUGUGACAUUCAUUUGUUCAAAUACCAAUUAAUUUGAUGUAAAAAACAACAUAUAGAAUGACUUGACUGUUGAAUGAAUGAUUUCAUGGUCCUAUGUUGCAGUGCAUCAUCAGUUGAUUUGAUGCUGAUGGGUGACUUUGACACUUUAAAUCAAUUCAUGAUGCACUGCAACACAGGACCAUGACAUCAUUCAUUCAAAAGUCAAGUCAUUAGAUAUGUUUUGUGUUUUGUUUUUUUACCUCAAAUUGGUAUUUGAAUGAAUGAAUGUCACAUUUAAUAAGACGUGUAUGUAUUUCAUUCCAAUUUGAAUCAAUGAAUAAAUGUCACAUUGUAGUCGGUGUAUUUAUUUAUUGAGUGAAUUUUGUAACUUUGAGCGCUCCCUAGUUUUCACCUGUUAACAAUGUAAAAAUGAUGUGCACACAUUAAUCCCACAGAAGUCUAAUUGAUGUGCUGAUCAUUUUUAAGCAUCAGUUGCUGGACACCGGUACCCCGACUGUGUGGUCAACAGUCCAGAGAGUGGACCCCUGUCAAAUUUUUUUUGUGUGUUUUUAUGGGAUUUCUUGGGGGAAUUUUUUUUGGGAAAAAAUGUGAAAUAAAAUGGUAUAACCCCCUGCUGUCAUCUGUGCAGGGGGCCGGGGGAGCACAGCCCAGCCCCGGCCCCAGUUUGGCCCCGGCGCCGGGGCCAAGUGUUCGGAGCAUGCUGGAUUUGAACCAGCCACAGCCGGACUGGCACAACCUCCUCGCGGUUGCGAACCAACCCACCACGCCACAAACCCUUUUGAGGUGUUGGGACGGAGCUCCGGGCGUUUUUGAGUCUUCACUUUGGCUGUGGAACCUUAAACCUUGACAUAUAAAGGAAUUGAACCGUCAACGUCAGGACUGAAAGGCUGCUCUCUAUCCAGCUGAGCUAUCUGUCCACACUCUUCUGCAGCUUUUGUCACACCUAUUCACUCUCUGUGUAGAAUAUUGGGCUUAAGAAGUUGCUUCAUCUAAGAUUUGAACCUCUGACCCCAGGAACUCCAGUCUUUGUCUGAACCACGUGAGCUAUUUGUCCUCACAC